rnacentral:tRNA from 2 species
GGCCUGGUGGUCUAGUAGUAUGAUUCCUUGUUAGGGUAAAUACGUUUCGAGGAGGUCCCGGGUUCAAUUCCCGGCCAGGCCC